rnacentral:rRNA from 1 species
GACAGAGGGUGCAAACGUUGUUCGGAAUUACUGGGCGUAAAGCGCGUGUAGGCGGCUUGGCAAGUCGGGUGUGAAAGCCCUGGGCUCAACCUAGGAAGUGCACUCGAAACUGCUUCGCUGGAGUGCCGGAGAGGAAAGCGGAAUUCUCGGUGUAGAGGUGAAAUUCGUAGAUAUCGAGAGGAACACCGGUGGCGAAGGCGGCUUUCUGGACGGUUACUGACGCUGAGACGCGAAAGCGUGGGGAGCAAACAGG